rnacentral:sRNA from 1 species
AAAAAAAAUAUUUGUAAAAAUUUGUAAAAAUCAAAGUGUUUAUUUACAAAUAUAUAUUAAUACUUUAAAAAAUCAAGAUUUAACAAAUAAAUGCUGCUCUUCAUACAAACAUAUAAAAAAACAUUCAACACCUAGAGCCAAUUUAUAGGAAAAUGGGAUUAUAUUUUGUCAUACCUCCGGCUAUGAACAUCAUCAUCACUAUGGAUUCUUUAUUCAAGCACCACAAAUAAUGCCAACUCUCAUAUGAACUACUAUAAAAGUUGAUAUAUUGUGUGGAAAUUUAUGAAAAAUCAUUAACAAAAUAAAAAAAAAAAAAUCUUGUUGUGUUCGUCUAUAACUUAAACGCGUUUUGUUCGUUCAUUUUUCGGUUCGGUUCAUAAUUUCCGUUUCCGUUUUUUUUUUGUUAUUUGAAAAAAUACACACACGCACACACACAUCGCUAUACCAGAUACGAGUAAUCGAGCAGUAGACGUGUAGCAGCAGCAUCAAUAGCAAGCAGAAGGGCUUAUCUAACGCU